GCUAAGGAGGCUGAAGAGAAUUGGGAUUGCGGAAAAGAGGAAGUUGAAGGUAGGAAAAGCGGGGAUUACUGAAGGGAUUGUUAAUGGGAUUCACGAGAGGUGGAGGAGGGCAGAAGUGGUUAAGAUUGUUUGUGAGGAUUUGUGCCGGAUGAACAUGAAGAGGACUCAUGAUUUAUUGGAGAGAAAAACUGGAGGUCUGGUUGUUUGGCGAUCUGGGAGUAAAAUAGUAUUGUAUAGGGGCGUCAAUUAUAAGUAUCCCUACUUCUUAUCAGAUAAUAUUACAACAAAUGAAACUUCUAUCGAUGCUGUACAUGGUACACAUGUGGAUCAUGAGGGUGAUAAAAUGGGGAGCUUCUCAUCUGCAGAUGGCAUAAACAUAAAGUCUUCUGGACCAAUUCCAACCAAUAACAUUGUUCGACCAGCC
rnacentral:misc_RNA from 1 species